rnacentral:rRNA from 1 species
GGCGUGCUUAAUACAUGCAAGUCGAACGGCAAGUAAGAGCUUGCUCUUAUGAGUUAGUGGCGCACGGGUGAGUAAUGUAUAGCUAAUCUGCCCUACACUAGAGGACAACAGUUGGAAACGACUGCUAAUACUCUAUACUCCUCUCUAACAUAAGUUAGAUAGGGAAAGUUUUUCGGUGUAGGAUGAGGCUAUAUUGUAUCAGCUAGUUGGUGAGGUAAUGGCUCACCAAGGCUAUGACGCAUAACUGGUCUGAGAGGAUGAUCAGUCACACUGGAACUGAGACACGGUCCAGACUCCUACGGGAGGCAGCAGUAGGGAAUAUUGCUCAAUGGGGGAAACCCUGAAGCAGCAACGCCGCGUGGAGGAUGACACUUUUCGGAGCGUAAACUCCUUUUGUUAGGGAAGAACAAUGACGGUACCUAACGAAUAAGCACGGGC